UGUAAAUCGUGUGUGUUUGUGGAUGUGUGUGAGUGUGUGUGGGUCGGGGGGGUCUGGAGGCUGCACCUGGCUACUCACACACACACACGCACACACACUCACACAUACCAGAGCGGGUCCGACAGCAGCAAGAGGAGUACUCCGGAAAGCGCACCACAGAGGCACUGAGAUCAAGACUGAACCAGCUGGAGAGCAGCUCCUAAGAUGGACAAGGACUUUGACGCAGACUUUGUCUAUGACUACUACACCCUGAGGGUCGGUGGUUUGACCUUCGCUGGGGUCAUCGUGUUCCUCUCAGUUAUCCUGCUGGCCGG